GACGAACGCUGGCGGCGUGCUUAACACAUGCAAGUCGAACGAAGAGCGAUGGAAGCUUGCUUCUAUCAAUCUUAGUGGCGAACGGGUGAGUAACGCGUAAUCAACCUGCCCUUCAGAGGGGGACAACAGUUGGAAACGACUGCUAAUACCGCAUACGAUCUAAUCUCGGCAUCGAGGAUAGAUGAAAGGUGGCCUCUACAUGUAAGCUAUCACUGAAGGAGGGGAUUGCGUCUGUUUAGCUAGUUGGAGGGGUAACGGCCCACCAAGGCGAUGAUCAGUAGCCGGUCUGAGAGGAUGAACGGCCACAUUGGGACUGAGACACGGCCCAGACUCCUACGGGAGGCAGCAGUGGGGAAUCUUCCGCAAUGGACGAAAGUCUGACGGAGCAACGCCGCGUGAGUGAUGACGGCCUUCGGGUUGUAAAGCUCUGUUAAUCGGGACGAAAGGCCUUCUUGCGAAUAGUGAGAAGGAUUGACGGUACCGGAAGAGAAAGCCACGGCUAACUACGUG
rnacentral:rRNA from 1 species